rnacentral:tRNA from 1 species
GCCGGGCUGGGGAAGGAGGUUCUCCUCCGUCUCGAAGGCGAGGGUGGCGAUGCCCGCCCGCUCGAACAGGGCGGCCGGCG